ACAAGGUCUUCGUAGGCGUUGGAUUCUACUUCUACAACAGUACAACAGCCUGGGAGGACCUGGAAUAUAUUGGAGAUACUGUCGCCACGUCCGAGGUGGACAUCUUGGUUGUAAUGAGCACAGUUGUGACAUUCCCGAGCAAAGCGCAAUGCUUCACAAUGCCGGUCAAUGCCUACAAGAGUGCAAACGCUUAUACCCCUACCCUGCAUGGCGCCUCCUCCGUCAUGGCCAGAUCAAAUUUCUCGAGACCGGCGCUCAUCGUGGCCUUCGCGCUGCAGAUGGGCGUCAUGGUAUACAAGUUUGCUGAUAAGCCCGCGAGCCCCAAUAGCGUCCUGUACAAGCCGUGUUCUGAUUUCGAAAUCUCCGACUACUCUCAGGCAAGUCUGUCCUCCCGAAUCCGUGAAUGCGUUGCCGCUUUAGGGACAUGUCGAGUCAGUCCGCGCAUCCGUCGCUCGUAUGCAGCAAAUAGCUGCACCAAUAGACUUCUUUGCCUUUGUAGGUGGCACGUUGCAAUUAUCGAUACGAAAAAAGGUCACGGGGAUCUUUUUUAUUUUUUCUGUGAUUGGAGCCAUCUGACAACUUGCAGACUGACCCUGUUAUGUCUUUGCGCACACAGCAUUUGACGGGUUUGUUGUGGUGUUUUUUUUUAUUUUCUUCACAAACAGAAGCCGUGCAAGGCUCGCUUUUGCUUUCGAAACUCGAGGCCAAGCUUAAGUUGGCGACACAGACAGCGGAGAGUUUCUAUAGUGUACCAUUAAAAAAGUCGUGCGUUUAAUUAUUUCCGGCACUUCUUUUUUUUUUUCGAGCUAAUUGCAAAAUCUUAAGUCGAGCUGAUAACCCACCAAUAUAUGCUCGGCCAGCUUGAAAUUCAAAUUUUUCCGUAAAUAAGCGAUUAAGUGAUCGAGGCAUGAUGCACAUUUCCCUUCCUUGAAUAAAGAAAACUAGUUAAAUUGCACACUGCACACCUGAGGGGAAAAAACUGCAAAAUCUGCUGCAGAAAUUCUGGACAGGAAGCUUGCGGUGCCCGCAGCCUGCUAGCUGCCACGGCGUGUGGGCGAUACGAUCUAAAUUUAGAAGUCGUGGUGGCUGCCACUUACUGGACUGUUAUACGACCUAUUCUUUUUUUUUUCAAUUCCUUGUCCAGUGACGUCAAGUUAACAUCAUUAACAGUACGUCGGAUGUGCCUGUACAAACAUCUUCUAGCACACAAAUCUAUCAUGCGUUGCCCUCUAUAGGCUGCCAUUGUUAGAAAACGUUCGUGCCAACAACCCGGGUUGGCGGCUCUCCAACGCACCCGUACUAUAGUCGAUUUUCGCACGUGUAACACAAGUAGGACCACGCCGCACACGCACGGCAAAAAAAUGAAAAAAUAAACACCGUUUCGUAUUACGAUAACGUAACUCUCUUCGCGCGUAUCGCACCCUAUGCUACCUCGGUCAUCUAUAGAUGCUCUCGAAGUUGCUAGCGGCAUCUCUGCAAAGAGAGACAGUGGAAUCAGAGU